rnacentral:tRNA from 1 species
GUCGUCGUGGCCGAGUGGUUAAGGCGAUAGACUAGAAAUCUGUUGGGCUCUGCCCGCACAGGUUGGAAUCCUGUCGGCGACG